GCGGCCGUAGUAUAGCCUGGCUAGUACACGAGCCUGCCACGCUUGUAGCCCGGGUUCAAAUCCCGGCGGCCGCA
rnacentral:tRNA from 1 species